AGCGAACGCUGGCGGCAGGCCUAACACAUGCAAGUCGAACGAACCUUUCGGGGUUAGUGGCGGACGGGUGAGUAACACGUGGGAACGUGCCUUUAGGUUCGGAAUAACUCAGGGAAACUUGUGCUAAUACCGAAUGUGCCCUUCGGGGGAAAGAUUAAUCGCCUUUAGAGCGGCCCGCGUCUGAUUAGCUAGUUGGUUGAGGUAAUGGCUCACCAAGGCGACGAUCAGUAGCUGGUCUGAGAGGAUGAUCAGCCACAUUGGGACUGAGACACGGCCCAAACUCCUACGGGAGGCAGCUGUGGGGAAUCUUGCGCAAUGGGCGAAAGCCUGACGCAGCCAUGCCGCGUGAAUGAUGAAGGUCUUAGGAUUGUAAAAUUCUUUCACCGGGGACGAUAAUGACGGUACCCGGAGAAGAAGCUCCGGCUAACUUCGUG
rnacentral:rRNA from 1 species